GUUUCCAUGUCAUUAAUCACAAGAACUUCAUGUCUCCGAACAUCACUAAACUUCCAAUGUCAGAAAAUAUAACAAAAUAAUAAACAGGACUAAAUAUAGAACUUGGAUCCCAAUCACACCGAAAGGAUAACAGGCAACAAUCCCCGAUAAACAGAGAUGAAACACAACCAACAGAGAGAGCGAGAGAGUACAUGAUACUAUCAUCCUCUUUUCUGAUUUCACAACUACAUCUAAUUCCAGAUUACUACCAGAUAAUAGAGAAAGGAGAAUCGCAUCAUACUAGUAAUCAACCAGUCAAAUUUUACUUGGCCAUCAUGACUUUGAC
rnacentral:misc_RNA from 1 species